UUUGUCCUAUUGUUUAAUGUGAUUGGACUUUGAACUUGAUAUAUUGUCUGUGUGCAACAUUUCAUGAUUGAUAUAAAGAUGUUUGUCCAGAACAGUUUAACUUUUGUUCAAUAAAUCCUGCUGGAAAGACCUUAAACUCUCCUUAGAACAGAAAGGACUGUGAGGGAAAAUUUUAAAUUGCUAUCCACGUGAAUUCUACAGUGCAAUUGUGGUCCUGUACAGCAAGACAAUAUCAACAGUGGCAUCAUUUAUUAACCCUCACCAGCAAAACCGCAUCGAGGAACCACCCAGAAUGGCAUCUGCUUUUAAUCAUCUUGAAAAGGAACUGAUUAAACUCUUCGACAGUGAUUACCCUCAGCUCCAGCAGUGCAUAAAGAAUCUGCAAUGUAUCCUCAGAACAUUUAAUGAGAAUAAGAGAACUGCUGAAAAAGGUUCUAAAGAUGGAAAAAUAGCUGGAGCAGCUGGAGGUACUGCACUGGCUGUGGGACUAGUUUUGGCUCCAUUUACACUGGGGAUUUCUGCUCUUAUCGGUGGAGCAGGAGCAGCGGUGGCAACAGGUGGUGCGAUUGGGAGUGGAGUAUGGAAUAAGAAGAUAGCGGACCAGGAGGCACAGUUCAAAAAAGACGCUGAAGCUGAAUUGAGAGCAUUUCAAGAUAAAAUCAUCCCUAUGGCUGAAAAGAUCAAAUGUAUUAAUCAGUGUAUUGAGGAAAUAUCCAGAGACCUUAAUAACCCUGAAAACAACGUCAGUUACUUAAGUAAAUAUUCUAGCUCUGAGUUAGUGCACUUCAUAAAGAUGUAUGAUUCUGGUGGAUUGGCUGUACAGAUUUCCAAAAGUGUGCAUUUUACUAAAGAAAUCACAGACAUUUUGUCUAGGGUUACUACGGAUAUCGUUCAAAAGAUCACUGAUUUACAGCCUCACAUCAGUCUGUUAGAGGACAUGAUGAGAGAAAUUAAGAAAACAACAGACAAAAUGGCAAAACAUUAGGUUUCAAAUCAGUGAAUACAUCUUUCAUGUAAAAAAAAAAAAUUGAUUAAACACAUCGUAAAAACAGUAAUAUUGUGAAUUUAACUACAGGCAUAAUUCUAUGUGAUUGCAUUGUAAAAUGUAAUUUAUCUCUGUAAACUGAAUUUUCAGCAUUAUUACUCAUUAAUUUCACAUGAUCUUCAGAAAUCAUAAUAUACUGUUUUGCUUCUCAAGAAACAUUUCUGAUUAUUACCAAUGUUGUGCUGCCCAAUAUAUUGUGGAAAGAUUAAAUUCAUCAGUAGUUUUUUUAAUAGAACUUGCAAAAGAGCAGUAUUUUAGAUUUUUUUUAAAUCAAUUUAAAAAUCUUUAUUGUAACUUAUCAAAUUAAUAUUUUCUGUAUAAACAUAAUUUUUCAAGACAAUAAAUCUUUAAAAUAUUGAAAAUGAAAACAGUGACCAAUUAUAACCACAUUAGAACAACCAAAAAUGUAAAUUCUGUCAUUAAUUACUCGCCCUCAUGUUGCUCCAAACCCAUAAGAC